GAUGAACGCUGGCGGCGUGCCUAAUACAUGCAAGUCGAGCGAACAGACGAGGAGCUUGCUCCUCUGACGUUAGCGGCGGACGGGUGAGUAACACGUGGAUAACCUACCUAUAAGACUGGGAUAACUUCGGGAAACCGGAGCUAAUACCGGAUAAUAUAUUGAACCGCAUGGUUCAAUAGUGAAAGACGGUUUUGCUGUCACUUAUAGAUGGAUCCGCGCCGCAUUAGCGAGUUGGUAAGGUAACGGCUUACCAAGGCGACGAUGCGUAGCCGACCUGAGAGGGUGUUCGCCCACACUGGAACUGAGACACGGCCCAGACUCCUACGGGAGGCAGCAGUAGGGAAUCUUCCGCAAUGGGCGAAAGCCUGACGGAGCAACGCCGCGUGAGUGAUGAAGGUCUUCGGAUCUUAAAACUCUUUUAUUAGGGAAGAACAAAUGUGUAAGUAACUAUGCACGUCUUGACGGUACCUAAUCAGAAAGCCACGGCUAACUACGUG
rnacentral:rRNA from 1 species